UUCGUAGGCGGUGUGGCAAGUCGGGAGUGAAAUCUCUGGGCUCAACUCAGAGACUGCUUCCGAAACUGCUGUGCUUGAGUGUGGGAGAGGCGCGUGGAAUUGCAGGUGUAGCGGUGAAAUGCGUAGAUAUCUGCAGGAACACCCGUGGCGAAAGCGGCGCGCUGGACCACUACUGACGCUGAGGAACGAAAGCUAGGGGAGCAAACAGGAUUAGAUACCCUGGUAGUCCUAGCCCUAAACGAUCAGGACUUGGGGUGCCGCACGUUCGUGCGUCGUCCCGGAGCUAACGCGUUAAGUCCUGCACCUGGGGAGUACGGUCGCAAGACUGAA
rnacentral:rRNA from 1 species